GUUGGCUAUGGAGACAUGUGUCCCACCACCUUGGGUGGGAAGAUCGUGGGGACUCUGUGCGCCAUUGCAGGGGUAUUGACCAUUGCGCUGCCCGUCCCCGUCAUCGUCUCGAAC
rfam:Podiceps cristatus contig103338, whole genome shotgun sequence.